UUACAUAGGUCAUCCUUAUGAAAGCCAUCACCUAUGCUCAUCACAUCCGCAAACAACUGAUUUUCAUCAAUGCUAAAAAGCUCUCACAAGAUCUGGAU